GUCUGCUGGGGGUUCGCAAACGGGAACCCCGCACUCCAAGUCCCCUCUCAGCGUCUGGGCACUGUAGGCCCACCCACGAGCCUCCUGUCCUGUGACACAGAGCAGCUCCUUGGUGCCACCUCCAGAUGGAUUUUCUGUUGCUGGAAGUUAAACCGGCCUCGUUCCGUCCGUGAUGUGCAAACAGUGGAAAUACAACUUGAACCAGCCUGAGCAUGAGGUCGAUGUUAUGGAAGGAUGGUUGGGAGUGUCUCCUGUGAGCUGGGAAGGGCUGAUCGGCUGUGCUGUGGGAAGGGCCAGGUGUGGCCGGGCUGGAAGUAGCUGAGCCAGGGACCCAGUGCCGGCGAGGCCGGCCCACCUGCCCCUUUGUUCCUUCCACGGUGCCUGCCUGUCUUCCUGUCGCUGCAGAGAGGCUCCCUCCUUACAGGAGAAAACAUGGCCCCCAGGUUUGAGAGAACGGCCUCACUCACUCUCAGGCCCAAAUUCCCAUAUAAGGGAAUUCCCCAGUGGGGAUCAGCACCCACCUCCGGGUGAAUCAGCUACAUUGGGGGUCUCAUCAUGCUUGGGUCCCCACAUCUCUGCAUCUCAGUGCGUCCUCUGAGCGCACGCAACCGAAACCCCAGCAGAUGACGCAGCUUCCAGCCGGGAGGGCCAGCGGGGGCGGCGGCAACAAGGUCACAGCUGGAUGCGGCUGGUGGGCGAGGCAGAGGCCGUCUCCAGGCGCCUCUCUGCUCUCCCCUGCACUACGGGACCCCUGCACCGCUGCCCCUCACACAGUCUCGAUUCCCCUCUUCCCUUCAGAAGCAGAGCCCCACGCCGGUGGUUCUCACGCUGGAGCGGCCACACCCAGAGGCUCCCAUUCAGCACUGGGGGCCCAGGAAUCUGCAUUUCCAGUGUGGUUACAGAUGGUGCUGAUGCUACAGCUCCGGGAACCCCACUUUGAGGACUAAGUGGGGAGGGGACUCUCCAAACACAGCUGCACCAGCGCCCACCCCCAACGGGAGACAGCGCGUGCCUUCCAAAUGCUCAGAGGGGAAGCCUGCGUCCGCCUUCCAGCCCUGUGGUCUCCGGUCUUCCCAGCGUGUGAGGGCCCCGGGCACUGGCUCCGCCCUUUGGGCACAGCAGGGAGAGUUCGGGGACGGCUGCUGGCCAUGGCUGGGACAUAAGAGACCCGGGGUGAGUGCUUGGGGGGCUUCGGGGGCUUCUCCAUCCACCCUUGAGACCCCUCAGGCCCCACCUCAUUGUCUCGCCUGACUUCCACCCAAACCCCACCUCAAACCUGACCCCCGCUCAACCCCCGCCUCUCACCCAACCCCCACCCAACUCCCACCUCUCACGCAACCCCCACUCGACCCCCACCCAACCCUCACCUGACCUCUUCACACCCCCACCUCUACUGCAGUCCGGCGGAGCCCACGUGCCCUGCUCACGUGCCCUGCUCACGUGCCCUGCUCACACUGGCCGCGCCUCCCGGCAGCGCCGAGCUCAUGGCCCUGUUGUGGCUUCUGCUCCUGCCCCAUGAGAGGGCACAGCCCACGUCUGCUCUUCUCAGCUGUUUUGCUGAGGACACCAGACGAUGUGUUUCUGGAAUACUUCGUGCCACUCCAGCACCUGAGCAAACCAGGCCCCCGUGUUGCACGUGCGUGGCCCUUCUCACUGGGUCAGCGCCCCUGGGUCCUUCAGGACUCCACCCGGGGGGGCGACAGCUCCGGCAGGAAGCCCCUCUGCCCUGGUCCCAUCAGAACCAUCAGUGGACACACCCGUCGCCUCCGGGGCGGGGCUGACCACAGGGCAAUGCCACCGCACCUCCCCGGGGAAUGACCUUUGACUUCUCCUCCACGCCGACUGCGCAGCCCUGGAAGGUUUGUAGUGAACUUGUAGAAAAUGGAAAACGUGACCCUGCCUGGCCCAGCGGUUUUGGUCCUGUGGACCCAGCAGCCUGGCGUCUGACUUAGCAAUUCUGGGUCACUGCUGCUUCUACCGGCUGCAGAAUCGGAGCUUUCAGGAACGUCUCCAGCCAGCUCCUGAGUCUUUCCGGGCACCCCACUCGUGAGCCGGGUGAACCUAACGUGUGUUCACCUCCCAUUUAUGUGAGGGUGACGUUCUAACAGCUUGAGACCACGACCACGCCCAGGGGAGUGUGGGCUCUCUGCAGGCAUCUGGCGCGUUUCCAGACACAGCUGAGGCCGGACGCGCUGGGUCAGUGAGGGCUGAGAAGUGCAGCCUCGGGCCUUUCCCGGGACCUGGCCGGUCCCUGGAUGCCCCCCACCUUGCCUGUCGUCCCGACACUCCCCCUCGGCAUUCCUACGCCCAUAGGAAUGAGUCCCGCACUCAUAGGAAAUGGGAGGCUCAGGCAGGUGGGUGGUCUGUCCUCAGGACAACCCAAAUCCCGGACCCAAACCUCUUCACUCCCGGCUCGUGCUCACCACUGUGCAGCCUCUUAAUGAACCACCUCCCACCCCUCGGAGCCAGGCAGGGCGCGCAGUGCACGGGGACAUGUCUGAGCUGGUUUUGAGUCGGUGGAACCCUGGAAGAAGUGGCUCCAUCAUUUUGAUUGCCAUGGGCCAUCUGGCCCUGCAGGUGUGGAUUGGGGACAGUGAGGAUGCAGGACUGGUCUGCAGCUGCAGAGUCCAAAGACGGGAGCUCAAAGUCCCCAUCUUCAAAGACUAUCACUUUGCAGGUAGAGUUCCAGUGGAUUAAUCUGGGGGCACACAAACAUUUGGUCCAUAAAAGACUAUCACUUU